CAGGUUACACGUGUGCAAGUUAGUUGCACCAAAACUUGAAACCCAGCACUUCCUCCUCUUAGUUUGGGAUUUGGGAACAUCUAUCUCCUGCUACAGCCAUUUCUCCGUCGACUAAUUUGUUGUGCUGAUUAUCAGGCGGCCUGGGAAAUCUUCACACCUCUUCUGCAUAGAAUUGACAACGGUGAGCUAAAACUGCUUCCAGAGCAUCACGAUCGCUGCCUCCCUCGCCGCCGUGACGACUUCAUCUCCAAUGUGUUUCCUCCCUCCUCUGCUCUCGAUGUGUUCAUCAUAGAUUCAUAGGCAACAACUUUACCAAGCCUCAGUUUGGAACCACUGCUUGCCAAGAAAGUUCAAGGCAAAACCUGAAAAAACCCAAGAUUUUACAAGAAAAAAGAUGAGUGGAUGUGGAAAUGGAAUACUAAAAAAUUUACAGGAAAAGCCACUUUCUAUUGCGCCAAGCAUGGGAGAGGAACCAGUAGACGGAAAAUGGAAGCACAAGUAUGAUUGAAGUAGAGGAGCUUCUGCCAUAUUCACAUGGAUAUACUGAAUUAAACUUUUGCUGAAAGAUCAGGCAAAAAUGAUGACCCACAUCAAUCCCAUAUUCAACUUCUGACCUUGAUAGUAACACAGCAUAGAAAGAGCAAACAAAGGCAAAGAUCAUUUUGCCUUACUGGGGAAAGUUAUGGAAGUAAGGGAGAAGUCGGUCAAUACAACAGAGAAGUCAGCAGAAGAGUGAAAAUCGCAAACCUAGAAGCAGCUAGAGGAACAAUUGGAAAGAGGAUAUAUAUGGAUUCACUCGAAAAUUCCAUUUAAGAGCAUGCGAAGCAUGCUAAGGCGUUGCAAAAGCUGUUAGAAUAGACGAAGAAGCAUUUGUAUUCGAUUUCCAAAGAGAAGAAGCUUAAACAUAAUGCCAGACAAAUUGGAUUGCAGCUAAUGGAGAAUGACGCUUAUACUAUUAAUGAUAGAUGCUUGCAGCUGAUAAUGAGUCAGCAAUUCAUCAAGAAAGAUAUGGCCUUACGACAAAGAAAAAAGAAGGUACAUCUUCUUUUGGGUGGACAAGAAAGUGAGGAGGAUCCAGCUGUUUCUCAAACCUCUAACUAAUUCGUCAAAUAAGAGCAACAAAGACAAAAGCAAAGAGCUGGUAAUGCUGCAACGGUUUCAUCUACUUCUAUUAGUAUUCCAGAAGCUGGUCCAUCAUGCUCAAGAACACGUAGAAUGCGUGAACACACUAAAAAAAAUGAACUCAUAGAAAUUAUGCAGAUUUUGGAGACAAGAUUUUCGAAUGUCGUCAUUGCAAUGCAUUAUUUUGGUUGAAUGAGUCUAUAAAAGCGAGAUAUAAAAAUCAACCUCCAACGUUUACAUUAUGUUGUCAGCAAUGCGUCCAACACCGAAUAUUCUUGAUGAAUUAUUAGAUCCAAAAAAAGGCAUAGAAGGUUGCAGGUGAAAAUGCCAAGUUGUAUGCUGCAAUUACAGAUGGUAUUGUCAAUUUACUUGACAACGGAGGCCUUGGUUUUCUAUGUGCAAAAUGAUGGACAGCUGCUACAACAUUUCUAUUCCUUUACUUUAGCAUUCCCUGCUUCCCAGUGGGAAGUUCCCAUAAUACUUGAUGUUGUCAAACAAUGUAAACCAAACAAUUUUAGAGAGAUGAAACUCUCUCAUUUUAUCAUUCUGUCAUUAUUGUAAAUUAUUAGCAACAACAAAUCCCGUGGCAAAGCGCGGGCACUAUUACUAGUGUGUACUAAGAAUGGGUGUGUAUAUGGUGGCUUUUGCAAGACCGUGUCGAGUAUGUAUAUAGGAACCGGAUGCUCAA